AAAAAAAAAGAAUUGCCUAGAUAAUAAGGUAAGGAUUUCAAUUCUCUAGCUGGUGAAUUUGGAGCAAUCACAGAAAGGGGGAAGUGAGGUGGCUUUGUCGCGAGUCCCCUUCAAGGCUCUUGAUCUUGUAGGUACUGCGAAUGAUGGUCGGAGUGAAUAUCUCAGAUGAGCAGCUGGGCAGUAUUGCAGACAGGACCAUCCAGGAGGCUGACCAAGAUGGAGACAGUGCCAUAUCUUUUACAGAAUUUGUUAAGGUUUUGGAGAAGGUGGAUGUAGAACAGAAGAUGAGCAUCCGAUUUCUUCACUAAAGGGCAGAGACCAAAUUAUUCUUGCUUUCUAGUAUUUAAGAACUGAAACUUCCUUCUGUCCUCCAGCCCCACCCCAUCCUGUCAUCCCCCUUUCCCAGAAUACUACAGCUCCUGCAUGACAACCUGAAGUCUCUCCUGUCCAUACAAACUUGCCUUUGGUGUAUAAACAGGGCGUUACAGAAUGGUACCCUGUCUAUUUCUGUUCGGUAUCCACCCAUCAGUCUUUAUUGUAAGUACC
rnacentral:lncRNA from 1 species